ACGGAAGGUGCAAGCAUUGUUCGGAUUGACUGGGCGUAAAGAGCACGUAGGUGGGUUUAUAAGUCGGAUGUGAAAUCCCUAGGCUCAACCUGGGAACUGCAUUCGAAACUGUAGAUCUUGAAUGUUUGAGAGGCUGGCGGAAUUCCAGGUGUAGGAGUGAAAUCCGUAGAUAUCUGGAGGAACACCGGAGGCGAAGGCGGCUGGCUAACAAUACAUUGACACUGAGGUGCGAAAGCGUGGGUAGCAAACAGG
rnacentral:rRNA from 1 species